UACGGAGGAUGCAAGCGUUAUCCGGAAUGAUUGGGCGUAAAGCGUCCGCAGGUGGCUAUGUAAGUCUGCUGUUAAAGAGUGAGGCUCAACCUCAUAAGAGCAGUGGAAACUACAUAGCUAGAGUGCGUUCGGGGCAGAGGGAAUUCCUGGUGUAGCGGUGAAAUGCGUAGAUAUCAGGAAGAACACCUAUGGCGAAAGCAGCUCUCUGGGACGGUACUGACGCUGAGACGCGAAAGCGUGGGGAGCGAACAGG
rnacentral:rRNA from 1 species